GUAACAAUCACGCAUUCUUGGAGAGUGGAGAGGCCAUGGUUUGGGAGGAGUAGAUAAGGAGAGACAAGCUCUUGACUCUGAAUGGCGGUGAGCCACCCAAGGAAUGGCGGCUAUGGAACCUUGGAGAUGGCAAUUAGAGGAGGCCAGCAGAUCAAUGGCUUUAUGAGGAAAGGCACACAGAGAAGGGAAGGAGGGCAAAGCAUGAGCACUGAAGGACACACAGUCAGAUGGAAAGAGAAAAAUCUGCAGAAGAAAAGGAGAGUCUCUGGAGUCAGGAUUUCAGGGAUUUAGAGAAGUAAAGGCCUGAAAAAUCGUCAAGUGAGCACUGCUCAGGUCUGCUCUGAGGGGCAGGCCCAGGCAACAGACAGAAUCUAGGAGAGUAGCCCACGUGGGAAGGCUCACGUCUGAUCAUGAUGGGGUACAGAGCUGGUGUUCAGAGGCGUUCAGCCCCCUGGUGACUCAGUGACCUAGAGUGUCAGAAAAACCUACAGUUUGCUUUGGGAGGUAAGCACUGGAUUCUCCAGUGUGUUCUAGAAUCUCUUGAUUCUGUAUAUGUCAGAAACAUCCUGGCUGCCAUGGAUAGCUCUGUACACAGUCUGCCAUUCAUCCUGUGGUGAUGUCCCUUAAACGUAUGAGCAGAUGGACCAAGAACUCAGGACUAGGUUCUUUUCCCUGGAAAGGCGGUCCCUGAGAAGAGAGGCCAGUGGCGACAGAUGGUACUUCAGAGGAGCACCUGCAAAGUGCAAGCCUCUCUCUUUGAUCCUGCUGAUUCCAGCCACAGUCUGUCCGUGGAAAAGAACACGAUACACGCUGAUUCCCGAUGAUCCUCAGCCCAAACUGGUCUCCACAGCAGUCAAGGGAUCUCAGUUGGGAGUGAAGAAAACAAGUGCUUACUUGAGCAUGGACUGGAAGAGAGGGUGGCACGUCCCUAUCCCCCAUUCCCAUCCGAGCUGCCUCUGUUAG
rnacentral:lncRNA from 1 species